CACGUAGGGGGCAAGCGUUGUCCGGAUUUAUUGGGCGUAAAGGGCUCGUAGGCGGUUCGACAAGUCGGGUGUGAAACCUCCAGGCUCAACCUGGAGUCGCCACUCGAAACUGUUGUGACUUGAGUCCGGUAGGGGAGCAUGGAAUUCCUGGUGUAGCGGUGGAAUGCGCAGAUAUCAGGAGGAACACCAGUGGCGAAGGCGGGUUGCUGGGCCGACACUGACGCUGAGGCGCGAAAGCCAGGGGAGCGAACGGG
rnacentral:rRNA from 1 species